rnacentral:miRNA from 1 species
AGUCUUAUCGACCGGAAGGGAUUCCUUCCGGUCGAUGAAGUAAAACACCCUCAUCGACGGAAGGGAUUCCUUCCGUCGAUGAGGUUGUUAUACCUCAUCGACCGGAAGGAAUCCCUUCCGGCCGAUGAGGUA